GGGUUGUGAGGUUAAGCGACUAAGCGUACACGGUGGAUGCCCUGGCAGUCAGAGGCGAUGAAGGGCGUGCUAAUCUGCGAUAAGCGCCGGUAAGGUGAUAUGAACCGUUAUAACCGGCGAUACCCGAAUGGGGAAACCCAGUGUGACUCGUCACACUAUCAUUAACUGAAUCCAUAGGUUAAUGAGGCGAACCGGGGGAACUGAAACAUCUAAGUACCCCGAGGAAAAGAAAUCAACCGAGAUUCCCCCAGUAGCGGCGAGCGAACGGGGAGGAGCCCAGAGCCUGAAUCAGCAUGUGUGUUAGUGGAAGCGUCUGGAAAGGCGCGCGAUACAGGGUGACAGCCCCGUACACAAAAGCGUAUGUGCUGUGAGCUCGAUGAGUAGGGCGGGACACGUGGUAUCCUGUCUGAAUAUGGGGGGACCAUCCUCCAAGGCUAAAUACUCCUGACUGACCGAUAGUGAACCAGUACCGUGAGGGAAAGGCGAAAAGAACCCCGGCGAGGGGAGUGAAAAAGAACCUGAAACCGUGUACGUACAAGCAGUGGGAGCCCCACCACUAAGCCAGUGGUGAACUCCACAUACGCAUCCUUUGCUGAGGAUACGGUUAACGGAGCGAAAGCGACGUUCAACCGCAAAAGAAGCAGAGGGGGCUUAGUGGUGGGGUGACUGCGUACCUUUUGUAUAAUGGGUCAGCGACUUAUAUUCUGUAGCAAGGUUAACCGAAUAGGGGAGCCGGAGGGAAACCGAGUCUUAACCGGGCGUUAAGUUGCAGGGUAUAGACCCGAAACCCGGUGAUCUAGCCAUGGGCAGGUUGAAGGUUGGGUAACACUAACUGGAGGACCGAACCGACUAAUGUUGAAAAAUUAGCGGAUGACCUGUGGCUGGGGGUGAAAGGCCAAUCAAACCGGGAGAUAGCUGGUUCUCCCCGAAAGCUAUUUAGGUAGCGCCUCGUGAAUUCAUCUCCGGGGGUAGAGCACUGUUUCGGCUAGGGGGCCAUCCCGGCUUACCAACCCGAUGCAAACUGCGAAUACCGGAGAAUGUUAUCACGGGAGACACACGGCGGGUGCUAACGUCCGUCGUGAAGAGGGAAACAACCCAGACCGCCAGCUAAGGUCCCAAAGUCAUGGUUAAGUGGGAAACGAUGUGGGAAGGCCCAGACAGCCAGGAUGUUGGCUUAGAAGCAGCCAUCAUUUAAAGAAAGCGUAAUAGCUCACUGGUCGAGUCGGCCUGCGCGGAAGAUGUAACGGGGCUAAACCAU
rnacentral:rRNA from 1 species